UUUUCCCAGGCUCACCGACUAGAACCAAUCCGAUUGUUUUUCCGGGAUCACAAUCGAACCCUUACACGUUGGUUUUACACUCGGCUCACCAACCAACCUCAAUACCCUUGAUUCAAUCCCCCGAUUGAACCAAGCAAAGACAAGAUGGAAGUAAAAAGGAGUAACAGAAAAAACAGAGCUUCUCAAAAGCAGAUAAAUAACAAUAUAAACAAAAGAGAAGUUAGAAGCCCUCAAACACGUUUGAGUUGGAGUAGAGUAGGGCUUCUU
rnacentral:lncRNA from 1 species